GACGAACGCUGGCGGCGUGCCUAAUACGUGCAAGUUGAGCGCUGAAGGUUGGUACUUGUACCGACUGGAUGAGCAGCGAACGGGUGAGUAACGCGUGGGGAAUCUGCCUUUGAGCGGGGGACAACAUUUGGAAACGAAUGCUAAUACCGCAUAAAAACUUUAAACACAAGUUUUAAGUUUGAAAGAUGCAAUUGCAUCACUCAAAGAUGAUCCCGCGUUGUAUUAGCUAGUUGGUGAGGUAAAGGCUCACCAAGGCCAAGAUACAUAGCCGACCUGAGAGGGGGAUCCGCCACAUUGGGAACGAGACCAGGCCCAAAACCCUACGGGAGGGAGCAGGAGGGAAACUUCGGCCAUGGACGAAAGGCCGACCGAGCAACGCCGCGUGAGUGAAGAAGGGUUUCGGAUCGUAAAACUCGUUUGGUAGAGAAGAACGUUGGUGGGAGUGGAAAGCUCAUCAAGUGACGGUAACUACUCAGAAAGCGACGGCUAACUACGUG
rnacentral:rRNA from 1 species